rnacentral:misc_RNA from 1 species
UCCUGGUUUCCCAGGCAGUCUCGUCAGAGUGCCUUACGUAAAGUAGUUGCAACUGACGACAAGGGUUGCGCUCGUUAGAGGACUUAACCCAACAUCUCACGACACGAGCUGACGACAGCCAUGCAGCACCUGUAUACCUGUCUAAGCUUUCGCUCAGAAGACUCUGUUUCUAGAGCUGUCAGGUACAUGUCAAGCCCAGGUAAGGUUCCUCGCGUAGUGUCGAAUUAAACCACAUGAUCCACCGCUUGUGCGGGCCCCCGUCAAUUUCUUUGAGUUUUAAUCUUGCGAUCGUAGUCCCCAGGCGGAUCACUUAACGCGUUAGCUGCGAUACCAAUUCUGUUAAACAGAACUGACAUCUAGUGAUCAUCGUUUACAGCGUGGACUAC